GUGUGAGUUAAAAGAGGAAAGAAAACACACAAGCAGCCCACAGUCACAACAUCAACAAGACCAGGCACCCCGCGGAUCCGGAGUUCGCUGGAGACGGCGCACCCUGGAUUCCUCUCCCGAGGAUGGUUUGCUCCACUGCAGCUGCUCUUGGCAGGCCUCCACUUCACAUCGCUCCCGGCUAAGUUCCACAUCCUUCAUUACCCUCAGCCUACGGCGGAGGGAGGAAGCGCAGGGGCCGGGGAGACACAGCCAGUGCGCCACACCGGGAAGCCAAGAUUGGACAAACUACCCAGGGAGUCAGCCAGAGCUUUAAAGAACUCCCGAAUGCCUUGUAAGGUUGAUAAUUUAGACUGGAAAGAACCGGAACAGAGAAAGCUGUAAUUUGAUCUUGUCCCCCCAACCUCCUCCCCUUGGGACCAAAUGUCAAAAGCAUUUGGAGGGACAUGAGCCAUUUAGCCUCUUGUGGGUUAACUCCUUCCAGCUGGUUUGCUUGAAGAUUUGGAGGGGGAUGGGUCGAAAAGUUUCAGCAUCUGGGACGUCUCCGUGCUCUGGCAGGCACAUUGCAGUUUGCGUGAAUAGAGCUUUGGAGUCACGCAGGGCAGCUCUCCUGGGUGUGCACGGUGGGGAGAGUGUAAGGGACUCUCAGGUUCCCCAGUUCCACCAAGGAACAGAAGGUGCCCGGGGUAGCAGCAGCUCUCACAGGCCGCCCCUCAGAGACUGAAGCGCGGCAGCCAGGCGUGGAACCCCCAUACCUGUCCUCAGGAAAUACAAUCCGGAAAGGGAGACAGAACUCGUAACUCGUAUCUCGCAAGCCCAAAUAAAACUAAAUGACGAAUUCCGUAAGGAGAGUGCUGGAGGAAAAAAUGCAGAUAACAGAGGGGUCUUUUUCCCUUCCCACAGCAUUAUGUUUUGUGUGUGUGUGUGCACAUGUGUUGCCCUUUCUACACUCUUCAGUAAAAGGAUUCUGACGUUGCGGCUCGCGACAAGUGGCGCCCGAACAGGGGCCUGAGUAAGAGGGACAUCGAGGAGAGCGCCCUGCGAUCCAAGGCACUACAACAAGAACCGAGACUGAUCCCUGCGGCUCCUGCUGGAAUACUGUUUUCUCGGUCAGUGUUGGUUUCCUGCUAAGGAUAACCUGACAUCUAUGGCUGUCUUACGAAUUCCCGUUCAGAUGUGGAUUCCUUUGAACACUUCUAAUCACUUCUCCACUGUUGUUUGGGCACAGAUUUCUUCCCCUUCUCGCAGGAAAAGAGUGGCAGGUCCCAUGGUGGCGGGCAUCAUCGCUGGCAUCAUAGCCUUGGUGUCUGCCAUCACCUUCGCAGUGGCGUUAACAGGGACUUUACAGAAUGCAGCCACCAUCAAUGAUCUUCAAGACACUACAACCAUGGCUUUACGAACCCAACAGCACAUCAACCCUCACAUUGGAACUGGUUUGGCUAUACUUCAGCAACAAGUGGACUUAUUAAACGAAGAAGUUGAGGGAUUGUGGUUGCAUACUCGAUUGGACUGUGAUUCCAGAUUUCAACAGCUCUACUCCCUUUCCUGUCAAAACCAUUCUGAGAAAGUCCGACGACUUUCGUCAUUGCUGCGAGGGUCUUGGAAUCGGACAUUUCUAAAUGCAACUAAUCAGUUGUCAUUGGACAUUGAGAUCUUGUCUGGUGUUCAUGCUAA